GGCUCAGGACGAACGCUGGCGGCGUGCUUAACACAUGCAAGUCGAACGAUGAACCUCCUUCGGGAGGGGAUUAGUGGCGAACGGGUGAGUAACACGUGGGCAAUCUGCCCUGCACUCUGGGACAAGCCCUGGAAACGGGGUCUAAUACCGGAUACUGACCCGCUUGGGCAUCCAAGCGGUUCGAAAGCUCCGGCGGUGCAGGAUGAGCCCGCGGCCUAUCAGCUUGUUGGUGAGGUAAUGGCUCACCAAGGCGACGACGGGUAGCCGGCCUGAGAGGGCGACCGGCCACACUGGGACUGAGACACGGCCCAGACUCCUACGGGAGGCAGCAGUGGGGAAUAUUGCACAAUGGGCGAAAGCCUGAUGCAGCGACGCCGCGUGAGGGAUGACGGCCUUCGGGUUGUAAACCUCUUUCAGCAGGGAAGAAGCGAAAGUGACGGUACCUGCAGAAGAAGCGCCGGCUAACUACGUGCCAGCAGCCGCGGUAAUACGUAGGGCGCGAGCGUUGUCCGGAAUUAUUGGGCGUAAAGAGCUCGUAGGCGGCUUGUCACGUCGGUUGUGAAAGCCCGGGGCUUAACCCCGGGUCUGCAGUCGAUACGGGCAGGCUAGAGUUCGGUAGGGGAGAUCGGAAUUCCUGGUGUAGCGGUGAAAUGCGCAGAUAUCAGGAGGAACACCGGUGGCGAAGGCGGAUCUCUGGGCCGAUACUGACGCUGAGGAGCGAAAGCGUGGGGAGCGAACAGGAUUAGAUACCCUGGUAGUCCACGCCGUAAACGGUGGGCACUAGGUGUGGGCGACAUUCCACGUCGUCCGUGCCGCAGCUAACGCAUUAAGUGCCCCGCCUGGGG
rnacentral:rRNA from 1 species